CUAGCAAAUAAAGAAAAAAAAAAGAGCUCUGUAGCAGAAUGAAGAAAGCUGAGCUGGUCUUCAUACCAACAACAGGUAUAAGCCACCUCCUAUCCUCAGUAGAGGUAGCAAAGCUUCUUGUAGACCGUGAUGAGAGGCUUUCAAUCACCUUCCUCAUCAUGAAACUAAGUUCUGACCCCAAGAUUGAUAGGUUUAUAAAUUCAGUGAGUACAGCCUGUAAUCGUAUCCGGUUCAUUGACUUGCCUAAAGAUGAGCCUGAUCCAAACCAACCCAGGAAGUUUCUCUUUUCUUUGAUUGAAGCCCAGAAACCCCAUGUCAAAGAAGAAGUCUUUAAGCUUGUGAGUCAGUCUGAGUCAAGCCCUCACUCGCCUUCUCUUGCUGGGUUUGUUCUUGAUAUGUUUUGUACAUCUAUGAUAGAUGUGGCCAAUGAAUUUGGUGUUCCAUCAUAUAUUUUCCUUACGUCAGGUGCAGCUUGUCUUGGCCUUCAAUUUUAUGUUCAGGCUCUUCACGAUGAGCAGAAAGUUGACCCUACUGAGUUCAAGGGCUCGGAUGCUGAGUUGGUCAUGCCGUGUUUGGCAAAUCCUCUUCCAGCUAAGGUCUUGCCUUUUUUUAUGCUUGACAAAGAGUGGCUGCCACUUUUCGUCGGUCUAGCUAGAAGGUUUAGAGAAAGUAAGGGUAUUAUAAUAAACACAUUUGAAGAGCUGGAAUCUCAUGCGAUUGACUCCUUUUCUAAGGCCAAGGGUAAUACCCCUCCGGUAUAUCCAGUGGGUCCCAUUUUAAACCUUAAUAGAGAUGCUGAUUGUGACGAGGAGUCUGAUAAAUACAAAGACAUCAAGCAAUGGCUCGAUGAGCAGCCUCUAUCCUCGGUAGUGUAUCUAUGCUUCGGAAGCAUGGGGAGUUUCGGUGCGGAUCAAGUGAAGGAAAUUGCUUGCGGGCUAGAGCAGAGUGGGCAUCGAUUCUUGUGGUCUCUACGUAAACCACCACCGAAAGGCGAGAUGGAACUUCAUCCAAGCGAUUACACUGAUCCUCGGGAUGUCUUACCUGAAGGGUUUUUGGAUCGGACGACUAACAUUGGAAAAAUAAUUGGAUGGGCCCCACAAACAGAUAUUUUGGCCCAUCCAUCUGUAGGAGGGUUUGUUUCGCACUGUGGAUGGAACUCUGUAUUGGAAAGCAUAUGGUUUGGCGUUCCAAUUGCCACAUGGCCAUUACAUGCAGAGCAACAACUUAAUGCUUUUAUGUUAAUUGUUGAGCUCGGAUUGCGAGUGGAAAUUAAAAUGGAUUAUAGAAGAGAAUUUAACUGGGAUGGUAGUGAAAAUGUCAUUAGUGCCGGGGAGAUCGAGAGAGGAGUAAGGUGUUUAAUGGAGCUUUGCGAUGAGAAGAGGGAGAAGUUGAAGGAGAUGAGUGGAAAGAGCAGGAAGGCUUUGGAGAACGGUGGAUCCUCGUUCACUUGGUUAGGUCGUUUCAUUCAAGAUACGGUAGACCACCUGCCAUGAUUAAACUGUACUCUCUUCGUGUUAUUUAAUAAAACGCUUGAGUCUUUCUAGGGCAGGACCUAACUUUAUAUAUUCUAUUUGGGUUGGCAAUCCAGCAAGACCAAAUCUCAAUAUAUAUUAAAAAAAAUACAAAAAUAUUAAAAAUAUUAAUUUGAAGUAAAGAAAACAAUAAAAAAUAUUUAAAAAAUUUUCAAAGCAUUUUUUACACCAAAACCAAACAUGUUUUAAUAAGAAAAUUCAACUCAAUAAAAAAAAUUAUCAUCACCUAAAGUUUGUAUAAUGUAAAACAAAAUCAUAUUAAUUUAUUUUCUCAUUACAGUAUGAAAACAAAUCAAUAAGAGAAAAGAAAAGAAAAUUCAAGAGGAAGAUAAUUUUUUUUAUUUGUUAAAAAUUAUUUUUUAUAUAAUCAUGUCAAAUUAAUACAAAAACAUCUUAAUAUGAAUUAAGGAAAAAUAAUAAUUUAAAGUAAAGAAAAAAAUAAAAAAAUUAUCAAAUUUUUUUCAAAGCAUUGUUGAAAAACAAAAACAAAAAUGGUUUAAUAAGAAAAUUCAACCCAACCUAAAACUAAAAAAAACUUUAUCAUCACCUAAUUUUUUUAGAAUAUAAAAAAACAAUAUUGGGUUCAGCUGCCCUGGCAAACCCAAGCCAGACCCAACCUCUUUUUUGGCACUUUUUGGAAGUGUUUUGAAUCUAACUUGUCAGCCCGGCCCAAUAGUGUUGGGCCCAGCUACCAAGCCCCACCUAACAACUUUUUGCAGAGAAGGCAACGCCCUCAGCCACAAUUUUUUACCAAAAACACAGAUGAGAAUCGUCUCUUAAGGCGCUGCAAUAUUGUCCACAUUGAAAGCAAUCUAUACCUAUAAUGUCGUCUACAAUGCAAUGUGUCUGUGUCCACUCCCAUAUGUUUUGAAAGAGCCCAGCAGACAGUAAAUGCAACUACCUGUUGGAUCUUAUAUAAUACAAAAAUAUAAAGUAUAUUAUGUGAACGAAAAAAUUAUUUGGAAUUAUAAUUUUUCUGAAAGCUUUUAUUUUGAAAAACAAAUUCAAGAGGGUUCUUUGAAACCCUCGGAUUGGAUAUUUUGACCAAUAAAAAACAUUUCACUUCACCAAAAAGCAAAACAAAAGUUUUUAACACUGAUACAACCCUAUCCAUGAGAAUCGAUUAAAUUUUCAGGACAAGUUUGUUUAAAACAAACAUCAAAAUGAUUUUUUGAAUAGCUUUACAACUUAUCUUUCACACAGCCUUGUCCCUAAAGAAACCUAAACACUUGAGAACAUGAUCAAACUGAGAGGCAAUCCAACAAACACAUAAUAGGGUUGAUGCAGAGCUGGCAACCUUUAUAUAAAGGUUUGUGGGCAAAGAAAUAUGCUGAUGUGAUACCCCUCCUAGAGGUCAAGAUCAUAAGAUGUGACUCUAGUAAGCAAAAGUAAAGAGUCGUCAAAGCUUACUAUCAAAGAUUCAAAUUUUUUAGAAAAGGAAAACUCCAUAAGAAAAGGAGACAUAUAUUUCUUAGGUAAGUAUACAUGCAUUUCAAUCAUGAUACAUUGCUUCCAUCAUUUGAUAGAUCGGUGUCUCACCAUCACCUCUUUUUGAGUGCGUUAUUGGGCCCUCAUCAUUCAGCUAGUACACUUUACAGCCCUACCUUUUUUUUUCCUUUUGAGUAUGCCUUCGAGCCCUCCACCACUUAAGUUUUGUACUUUGCAGCCCUACCUUUUUCAAUUUGAACAUGCUUUCGAGCUCUCCACCAUAUUAGGUUUUGCGCUUUACAGAUCUAUAUUUUUUCCUUCGAGUGCGUCUUCAAGCCCUCAACCAUCUUGAGUCAGGCAUUUUCUAACCAAACUUUCUUUUGAGUGCGCCUAAGAGCCCUCGACUACCAUGAAUAGUGCGUUUUCAAACCUCUUUCAAUUCUUUUAGAAAAUACUUUUAAAAUGUAAAAAUAACAUGGCGUUAUCUUUUUAUUAAUUUUCUCAUCCUCUAGUGGUUUCAAGGGUUUUGUACUGUAUAAAAGGACUUUUAUAAUAUUUAGGAAUGUGGUUAAAAUAUUGUUCGGUAAAAAUUUAAAUUUAAUUUUUUAUAUUUUUUAAUUGGUUUAAUGUAUUACUAUUAAAAAUAAAUUUAAAUUUUUUAUAUUAUACCCUAUACAGGACUUCCUUUAUACGCAUAACCAAAAGGGCAUCGAUUGUAUUUUUGUACAGAGAAGUAUAUAAAGCAAUUAAUGAAAAACACGUACCCCUAAAUCGAAAUACUUCAUAGUUGUUUUCUCCAUACAAUUUUCUCCUUUUCGUUUUAUUUUCAAGUAUGUUUAAAAACAAAUUUUAUAUAUUUCUUUGUCUUGAAGAAGAUACUGUUCUUGCAAAUUAAAAAAAAAAAAAACUCAUCCUGCAUUUACAAAGCAAGAAAAUAAUGUCUUUGAAUAACAAGUAGUUUUUAUUGAAGAUCAUGUAUUAUCUUAAUUUACAAAAUCAGGAUGUAUCUCCAUCAGAAAGGAGAAAACCAUUCCUUCCUAAGUUAUUUUAUAUUAAAAUAAAUAUUUUUUUAUUUUUAAAAUAUUAUUUUUAAUAUCAACACAUCAAAACAUUCUAAAAUAAUAAAAAAAUAAUUUUUAACAAAAACAAAAUUCAAAAUUCAAAAUUCAAAAAAUCAUAAUUUAAUCCGCAUUACCAAAGAUAACCUUCAUUUUCUUUUUCAAACGUUAGUAUGCAUGAUUUCUGCAAUGCCUUUUAUUUGUCAGGUAAAGUGAAACUUUCUACGCAAAGAAACUUUUAGUAAAUAAAGAAAGUGGAGAUGGGCCGGGCUUUCCUCGUACAAACUUGGAGCACAUCGCAUGUGGAUACGAUCAGGAGAAUGUUGGAUCGGUUAAGCCCAUAUUUUGUCUUAGGCCUAACCAAUGCUUAUUUGAUUAUUAGAAAUUUGAAAUUACAUUAUAUAUGUAAAUCGAACUAAUCGUAUUAUUACUUUGCAUUAUUUCUAAAAAUAUCAUCUUUCCUUCAAGAACUGUCCCUUUUCACUAAGGGCAUUUAUUUAUUUAUUUUUAUUAAAAUAUAGGUGUUAUUUGGUUCUAGAUUAAAUUUUUUUUAAAGAAAUUCUUAGAGUUGAUGUGUCUAGGUGUGACCUAGUUAAUAGGGUUAUUAACCAAGUUGUUUUGAGUGUAUAUAUAUAACUUGAACUUGGCCCAGAUCAAAUUUAAAAUCCUUGCUUUUUAAAUUAAUUUAUCAAGUUAAAUUAAGUUUAAUCAUUAUGACAUUUGGUUUUUUUUCUUGAUUUAAAGUUCAAGAUUAGUGUUUAUUUUCUAACUGAUACAAGAUGAUGUGUUUUUAAAGUUAUUCGUAACCUAAAUUUAAUCUCUAUUAACAUAAAUCCUAAAGCAUCAAUAUAUAUAUAUAUAUAUAUAUAGAAAAUUCAGCCCAAAAUAUGUAGUAAAAAACGUUGUCUUCUACUUUGAAUUUCAUAAAAGAGAUCUAAAUUUAAAUUUCUGACAGGGACGGCAUCCCAUUUUUUUGGGUCUUCUUGACGAAUUGUAAAAGCAGUCCACAAUCACAGCAAAGCCAUGACCUCACUCUUAUUCUUGUCCUGCUCGUAUAUAUUUUUGAACAAUAUAUUGCCAAUCUCAAGUCCACUUAAUUACAGCCACAAACAGUGCCUUUAAAAAGGAUACGAAAAUCAGUCUUUUACAUGCAAUCCCACCUUGAAAUCCUCUAGCAAACAAAGAAAAAAAAAAGGAGCUCAGUAGCAGAAUGAAGAAAGCUGAGCUGGUCUUCAUACCAACACCAGGUAUAAGCCACCUCGUAUCCACAGUAGAGGUAGCAAAGCUUCUUGUAGACCGUGAUGGGAGGCUUUCAAUCACCUUCCUCAUCAUGAAACUACGUUCUGACCCCAAGAUUGAUAGGUUUAUAAAUUCAGUGAGUACAGCCUGUAAUCGUAUCCGGUUCAUUGACUCCUAAAGAUGAGCCUGAUCCAAACCAACCUAGGAAGUUUCUCUUUUCUUUGAUUGAAUCCCAGAAACCCCAUGUCAAAGAAGAAGUCUUUAAGCUUGUGAGUCAGUCUGAGUCAAGCCCUGACUCGCCUUCUCUUGC
rnacentral:lncRNA from 1 species